GCAUAACGCGAAGAACCUUACCUACUCUUGACAUCCAGAGAACCUUCCAGAGAUGGAUUGGUGCCUUCGGGAACUCUGAGACAGGUGCUGCAAGGCUGUCGUCAGCUCGUGUUGUGAAAUGUUGGGUUAAGUCCCGCAACGAGCGCAACCCUUAUCCUUUGUUGCCAGCGGUUCGGCCGGGAACUCAAAGGAGACUGCCAGUGAUAAACUGGAGGAAGGUGGGGAUGACGUCAAGUCAUCAUGGCCCUUACGAGUAGGGCUACACACGUGCUACAAUGGCGUAUACAAAGAGAAGCGACCUCGCGAGAGCAAGCGGACCUCAUAAAGUACGUCGUAGUCCGGAUUGGAGUCUGCAACUCGACUCCAUGAAGUCGGAAUCGCUAGUAAUCGUAGAUCAGAAUGCUACGGUGAAUACGUUCCCGGGUCUUGUACACACCG
rnacentral:rRNA from 1 species